rnacentral:rRNA from 1 species
GUAGCGAAAUUCCUUGUCGGGUAAGUUCCGACCUGCACGAAUGGAGUAACGAUUUCCCUACUGUCUCCACCAUGAACUCGGUGAAAUUGCAUUACGAGUAAAGAUGCUCGUUACGCGCAGCAGGACGGAAAGACCCCGGGACCUUUACUAUAGUUUGGUAUUGGUGAUUGGGACGGUUUGUGUAGGAUAGGUGGGAGACGUUGAUGCGGCCACGCUAGUGGUGGUGGAGUCGUUGGUGAAAUACCACUCUGAUUGUUCUGGUUAUCUCACUGUGGACCGUGAUCCGGUUCAAGGACAGUGCCUGAUGGGUAGUUUGACUGGGGCGGUCGCCUCCUAAAGGGUAACGGAGGCGCCCAAAGGUUCCCUCAUCCUGGUUGGUAAUCAGGUGGUGAGUGUAAGUGCACAAGGGGGCUUGACUGUGAGACUGACAGGUCGAGCAGGGACGAAAGUCGGGACUAGUGAUCUGACGGUGGCUUGUGGAUGCGCCGUCACUCAACGGAUAAAAGGUACCCCGGGGAUAACAGGCUGAUCUUGCCCGAGCGCUCAUAGCGACGGCAUGGUUUGGCACCUCGAUGUCGGCUCGUCGCAUCCUGGGGCUGGAGUCGGUCCCAAGGGUUGGGCUGUUCGCCCAUUAAAGCGGUACGCGAGCUGGGUUCAGAACGUCGUGAGACAGUUCGGUCCCUAUCCGCUGCGCGCGGAGGAAUCUUGAGAAGGGCUGUCUUUAGUACGAGAGGACCGAGACGGACUGACCUCUGGUGUGCCAGUUGUUCUGCCAAGAGCAUGGCUGGUUGGCUACGUCGGGUUGUGAUAACCGCUGAAAGCAUCUAAGCGGGAAGCACGCUUCAAGAUAAGGGUUCCCACAGGUGAUCCUGGUAAGGUCCCCGAGAGAUGAUCGGGUUGAUAGGCCAGACGUGGACGCAUCGUAAGGUGUGGAGCUGACUGGUACUAAUAGACCGA